rnacentral:rRNA from 1 species
UACGAGGGGGGGCAAGCGUUUGUUCGGAAUUAUUGGGCGUAAAGGGUGCGUAGGCGGUUUGGUAAGUCUUAUGUGAAAUCUACAGGCUCAACUUGUAGUCUGCAUGAGAAACUGCCGGGCUUGAGUAUGGGAGAGGUGAGUGGAAUUCCUGGUGUAGCGGUGAAAUGCGUAGAUAUCAGGAGGAACACCUGUGGCGAAAGCGGCUCACUGGACCAUAACUGACGCUGAUGCACGAAAAGCUAGGGGGAGCAAACAGG